GGUUCGAUGGUGUAGUUGGUUAUCACGUCUGUCUCACAUAUAACAAAUGCGCACAGGAGGUCUCCGGUUCGAGCCCGGAUCGAACCA